rnacentral:rRNA from 1 species
AUUGAACGCUGGCGGCAUGCCUUACACAUGCAAGUCGAACGGUAACGGGCCUUCGGGUGCCGACGAGUGGCGAACGGGUGCGUAAUACAUCGGAACGUGCCCGAUCGUGGGGGAUAACGAGGCGAAAGCUUUGCUAAUACCGCAUACGAUCUACGGAUGAAAGCAGGGGACCGCAAGGCCUUGCGCGGACGGAGCGGCCGAUGGCAGAUUAGGUAGUUGGUGGGAUAAAAGCUUACCAAGCCGACGAUCUGUAGCUGGUCUGAGAGGAUGAUCAGCCACACUGGGACUGAGACACGGCCCAGAAUCAGACGGGAGGCAGCAGUGGGGAAUUUGGGACAAUGGGCGCAAGCCUGAUCCAGCCAUGCCGCGUGCAGGAUGAAGGCCUUCGGGUUGUAAACUGCUUUUGUACGGAACGAAAAGCCUUCUUUUAAUACAGGAGGGUCAUGACGGUACCGUAAGAAUAAGCACCGGCUAACUACGU